AUGGACAGUCGUGGAAAGGAUGCCACUAUCAUUCUUGAGGCCAUUGCCGAUCGAGAAACAUGGAUUCUGCAUUCAUAUUUUGGGAUGCCUGGAUCUUGCAAUGACAUCGACGUGCCCGAUCGGUCACCUAUUUUUGCCAAGUUAGCAAAUGAAGAAGCACCACCGGUGACCUUCGACGCAAAUGACUGCACAUACAACUACGAGUACUAUCUUGCGGAUGGGAUCUACAUGCUAAAAGCAAUAGGACCAAAGUGUGCACUCAAGAUAAAAGAUAAAAAUAUUAAAGAGGGUAGCAUGUAA
rnacentral:rRNA from 1 species